AUACCAUGGUGUAGGCAAUCUUUGCAGGUCUUUAAAUCUCUCCCAAGCUUCACAGAGAGAUUCUCCAGGUUGUUGCUUAAAUCAAGCAAGGUCUUGAGAU
rnacentral:snoRNA from 1 species